UACGUGAGGGGCAAGCGUUGUCCGGAAUCAUUGGCGUAAAGCGCGUGUAGGCGGCUUGGUAAGUCCGCUCUGAAAGCCCGGGGCUCAACCCCGGGAGGCGGGUGGAUACUGUCAAGCUCGAGUCCGGAAGAGGCGAGUGGAAUUCCUGGUGUAGCGGUGAAAUGCGCAGAUAUCAGGAGGAACACCAAUGGCGAAGGCAGCUCGCUGGGACGUGACUGACGCUGAGACGCGAAAGCGUGGGGAGCAAACAGG
rnacentral:rRNA from 1 species